rnacentral:rRNA from 1 species
UACGGAGGGUGCAAGCGUUAUCCGGAUUUACUGGGUUUAAAGGGUGCGUAGGCGGGCCUUUAAGUCAGUGGUGAAAGCUCCGAGCUUAACUCGGAAACUGCCAUUGAUACUAUUGGUCUUGAAUUCGGUCGAGGUUGGCGGAAUGUGUCGUGUAGCGGUGAAAUGCUUAGAUAUGACACAGAACACCGAUUGCGAAGGCAGCUAGCUAGACCGACAUUGACGCUGAGGCACGAAAGCGUGGGGAGCGAACAGG